rnacentral:rRNA from 1 species
UGGGGAAUAUUGCACAAUGGAGGGAACUCUGAUGCAGCGACGCCGCGUGAGUGAUGAAGGUAUUCGUUUCGUAAAACUCUGUUCUAUGGGAAGAAAAGGACUGUACCAUAGGAGAAAGCUCCGGCUAAAUACGUGCCAGCAGCCGCGGUAAUACGUAUGGAGCGAGCGUUGUCCGGAAUUAUUGGGCGUAAAGCGUGCGCAGGCGGCUUUACAAGUUGGAUGUGAAAUAUUGUGGCUCAACCACAAACGUGCAUCCAAAACUGCAAAGCUUGAGUUAAGGAGAGGUAAGUGGAAUUCCUGGUGUAGCGGUGGAAUGCGUAGAUAUCAGGAGGAAUACCGGUGGCGAAGGCGAGUUACUGGACUUAAACUGACGCUCAGGCACGAAAGCGUGGGGAGCAAACAGG